ACAAGGACUGCUUCAGUUUCUCUGCCUUCUCUUUCUCUGAAGGGGGACAAUUCCCGGAAGUGGAAUUACAGAGUCAAAGGACAUGCAUUUUUCAAGCCUCGGAUGCAUCUUACUAGAUGUCCUAUAGGAUGGUCAUAUCAGCUUUAUAGGAGAGUAGCUGUGUCCCUGAAUUCUCCCUGACACUGCAUGCUCUUAUAUUUCCUCAAGUUUUGACAAUUUGAUAGGUGAAAAGUGGUAUCUGACUGUUCAGAUCUGGAAGGCUUUGUUAUAUAAACAUUUUUUUAAUGUUUAUUGGCAAGAAUACUUUUCUAAGAGAAACAUCAGUGAGCUGGUUUCCAUUUAAGCUGAAUGAAGCCACAAUGUACCUCAAGUAUAAGAUUAACUGGCCUUUUUCAGUUGCACUCUAAUUACAAUUUAGAAUGAUGUUUCUGAGCCACCUGUCAAAUGCAUUCUGGGCUGUACCUCUGCGUACCCCAGGAAUAAAUCUCAUGGCCUUCUUUACCUGGCCUCCUUAGUGGUGGCCCAGCAGGAAGCGGGGGUUAGAGCAGGAGCCACUCAGCCUUCCAAGAUAGAUACUCCAUGGGCCGGUGGUAUUACUGGCCUUUUGAGCCCAUCCCCAUUUGCAUAGAUGAUCCACGUGGGUUAUCAUCUGGCUGGUAUGUUCCCAGAGUGAAACUCAGCAGCCCCUUGAGGGAGGGGAUGGUGGCCAUCAGGCCAGAGUAUUGCAAGUUAGUUUGGAUCAUUUGCUAAGCAGCUUGUGGUGCCUUCAGAAAGGAACAGUUUCAAAGAACUUUCACAUCUGUUGGCUCAUUUCGCCCUAAUGACAGUCUUCUCUUUGAUAUUUGCAUGGCAUUAAAUUUUGCCUUUCUUGUUUUCUCCAGAAAACGCCCACUCCUGGAUCUUCACAUUGAACUCAAUGGCUACAUGUAUGAUUGGAACAGCAGAGUUUCUGCCAAGGAGAAAUAUUAUGUCUGGCUGCAGCACACUCUGAGAAAGAAACUUAUCCUCUCCUACACAUAA
rnacentral:lncRNA from 10 species